rnacentral:misc_RNA from 1 species
GCCUUCUAGUAGGGUAUCCAGCACAACUAAUCCUAAUUGCUUCCAUAACUCCCCCACAUCGUAAUUGUUGAAGAACAUUUUUAUUCUCAAAAAUUGCUGGCUUAAGAAGAUUGUUGGGCUUUACACAGCGAAUGUAAUGUGGCUCAGUUGCACUGAGAGUUUCAAGCAAUGCUUGCAGUUGUUGCUUAAACCGAGAACCAAUCGAAGAGAACUUUGAUUGUUUAGAGGAUUCUUCAGCUAAAGGUGGAAACAAUCCCGAAACAAAGGAACAUUUAGAAGCAUUUAAAAGUGCCUGAUGUUCAGCAACAACAUAGUCCU